CUCGGGCGUUACCGUCGUUCUAUCGGCGCUCUGCCCCACCCCACUUGCUCGACGUUUUCACGUAACGGUCCUUCGGUCUUCACUCUUCAAUCCAGCGCGAUACUCUGAAUACGAUAGUAGUAAUGAGCUGUCGUCACUAUGAUUAGUUCUAUCACCGAACCGGAGAGGUUUUGAAAAGUAAUGCCCCUUUAGUAGUAGGAGCAUAUUUGUAUCGAGUUUUUGCUAAGAUUGACGAUGGUCGACUAACAUGAACGUUGAGGCAUAAUAAUUAGCGACGGUAAACAAUGGGCAUGUCGUCCUCUGGCCGCUACCUGCGCAUGACGAUAGAGGACGUGUGACUUGUCCUGCCUUGUCCUUGCCGGGGCGCGAUGAAGGUGCACGUUUUUCAAAUUAUAAUCUUUUGUAGUGGAUGUCAUUAUGGGAUCUUUUCGUUUGAUUAGAAAUGAAGACUAAACGAGUUACUCGUUAAAAUUUUUACUUUAAAUAACUAUGCUGGGCCUAAGGCUGCUUCUAAAAAUGUGCGUUUACUAUUCAGUAAGUUAAUUGAUUAAUGAACCCAUAAAAUCGGAAGAUAUUUGGAUCCGAAUAACUCUGUUAUUGGCGGCUUGCUGCGCAUAGUUGUUUUAACUGGAAAGUCGGGAAAGCGCACGAACCGAUAUCGCACGCGCAUUAUUUGAUUAUUUCGUCCGCGUUCUGAUGCUUUUCUUUAUUUAGUUUUAUAUUGCUUAGACCGAUGAAUGAGCUCGCGGCUUAAUUGGCGCUCAACCGUUACUGGAGGCAUCAUUACAUGAAUGUCAUGUAGAACGGCUGUCCCAUACUUCAAAGCGGACAGCUUCGCGGCAGAAAUGGCAGUGUGACAGUAUCUACCCGUUUGGGCUCAUAAGACGCUACCAGUAGUUAUGCAAAUUAGAACUUUUGCAGAUUUGGUUUUUUCACGCUGUUUUAUUCCUUCAUAGUGGAAGUCUCGUGAACAUAUUAUGUCAGUUAGUACGUACGUGAUUAAUUAUGUUCUUAACAGUAUUAAAAGGUUUUCAUUGAGUAUAUCUGUAUAAUAUAGUAAUUAUAGUAAAAAGUCGAUUAAAUUACUUUAAUUUCUAAAUUUC